CGCGGCCAGGAGGAGGCUGAGAGCGCGCGCUCGCUCACACCAACAAGAUUCACUUUAAGACGCGGCUGAAGGAAGCAGGAAGACGGCGCGUCAUAAUCGCUGUGAUGUAACGCUCGCACCUACCAAUAAGAGCACUCCGCUGGAUUUACAGGAAUACAAAACAAGUGAAGUUGCGCGCGGCGUGCUUGAAGACUCCGCUCGAGCGAAAAGCGAGUGAUACGGAAACCUUUCGUGGCAUCAGAAAAGAUGUGGGAUGUCUAUUCUGUUGGGAGGAUGCAAGUCGAAUCAACACAGGAAGGGAAGGAUGUUACAGGGGAUUAUGUAUGUGUGGCAUAAUGGUCCAGCUUACUCAAACAGACACCGGCUUCUUUGGGUUCGGUCAGUCGUGGUUAAUGGGCAUGACACCUAGUUUAUUUUGGAUGAUGAGGUAAUUUUGAGUGUUGGUUUAAGAAAAGAGCUGAUAGAUUGUGCAGCGAUAACGUCUUUGUUCAUGAAUUUAUGGGGAAGUGUUGGUCAGUAAACAGAAGGGGAGCAUCUUGUAUAUUCCUAUUAUUGCAAUUACAGCCAUAAAAAUUG